rnacentral:rRNA from 1 species
UAACGCGUGGGGCAACCUGCCUCAUACAGGGGGAUAGCAUCGGGAAACUGGUGGUAAAACCGCAUAAGCGCACGAAGACGCAUGUAUUCGUGUGAAAAGGAGAAAUCUGGUAUGAGAUGGACCCGCGUCUGAUUAGCUAGUUGGAGUGGUAAAAGCACACCAAGGCGACGAUCAGUAGCCGGCCUGAGAGGGUGGACGGCCACAUUGGGACUGAGACACGGCCCAGACUCCUACGGAAGGCAGCAG